ensembl:lncRNA
UGUGUGUGUAUAUCUCUGUGUGUGUAUGUCUUUGUGUGCCUGUCUGUGUGUGUCUGUGUGUGUAUGUAGUUAUGUCUGUGUGUGUGUGUGUGUAUGUCUCUGUUUGUGUGUGUUUAGGUGUGUAUGUCUGUGUGUGUGUGUUUCUCUCUGUGUGUAUUUAGGUGUGUAUGUCUCUAUGUGUGUGUCUGCGUGUGUGUAUUUAGGUGUGUAUGUCUCUAUGUGUGUGUGUGUAUGUAUGUGUGUCUGUGUGUGUAUGUCUCUAUGUGUGUGUGUGUAUUUAAGUGUGUAUGUCUGUGUGUGUGUAUCUGUGCAUGUGUGUG